GACGAACGCUGGCGGCGUGCUUAACACAUGCAAGUCGAACGGUGAAGGGGAGCUUGCUCCCCGGAUCAGUGGCGAACGGGUGAGUAACACGUGGGCAACCUGCCCCAGACUUCGGGAUAACGCUUCGAAAGAGGUGCUAAUACCGGAUAUGAACUCCUUGGGCAUCCUGGGAGUUGGAAAGUUUUUCGGUCUGGGAUGGGCCCGCGGCCUAUCAGCUUGUUGGUGAGGUAACGGCUCACCAAGGCGACGACGGGUAGCCGGCCUGAGAGGGCGACCGGCCACACUGGAACUGAGACACGGCCCAGACGCCUACGGGAGGCAGCAGUGGGGAAUAUUGCGCAAUGGGCGAAAGCCUGACGCAGCAACGCCGCGUGAGGGAUGACGGCCUUCGGGUUGUAAACCUCUUUCAGCAGGGAAGAAGCGAAAGUGACGGUACCUGCAGAAGAAGCACCGGCUAACUACGUGCCAGCAGCCGCCGUAACAC
rnacentral:rRNA from 1 species